ensembl:lncRNA
CCCGCUGCAGCAGCUCGAGAGGGCGGAAAAUGAAAGCAAACCAAAAGCAAACAGACACUGCUGGUUCUGCCCCUUUCCUGUUUGGCGGCUUCUGUUGCAGGGCCUGCAGGGCGCCUGCUGGGCAGGGACACGCGUGGGCAGCAAAACACAGCAGUGGGACAGGGACAGCACUGCACGGAGCUUUGGCGUCGCCCAUCCCCGUGGGACCCGAGGAUGCUCCCAUUGCUGCGCCGGGCCUGGCUGUGCCUCGGAGCUCUGCUGGUUGCCCCCCAUGGUCCCGAGCGGCCCCACAGGGGAAGCGUUCCCGCCCACUGCUCAGCCCGCAGUGCGAUCCCUUGCAUCUGCCCGCUGCUCCACGGCCCUGGGGGGGACAGGGACCCACAGCCAGGGCACGGGGACCGCACUGGGCCGUGGGGGUGCAG